rnacentral:rRNA from 1 species
AUGAGACCAAGGACCGGGUAUGUCAAGCUAAAUGUGGACGCGAGUUUUGAUCAGGACUUACUUGAAGGUUCAGCAGGUGCUGUCAUUAGAGACCACAAGGGCAAGUUUAUAGCUGCAGCAAAUGAAAAACUUGGAGUCUAUUAUGAUGCUUUUACUGCUGAGGCAAUUGCAAUCAGAUUCGGCCUAAAUCUUGCUCGCACAACUGGAUGUAGCAAAGUUGAGGUGAAUUCAGAUAAUUCGGACGUGGUUGAAGCGCUCAGAGAAGGCUACUCAGCUUCGGUAGCCAGUGCGAUUUUUGAUGACUGUUAUUUCAUGUCUUUAGAAUUCAGUCAUAUUGUUUAUGAGCAUUGUUUUAGAGAGAAUAAUAAGGUAGCACAUGAAUUAGCUAGUCUAGCUAGAUUCAAUCCUCCUGAUGUAUGGAUGGAUGAUCCCCCAUCGGCUAUCAUCCCCUUAAUUGUAUCAGAUGCUACUAUUGUAGCCAAUUAA